rnacentral:rRNA from 1 species
CCCUUAGAUGUUCUGGGCCGCACGCACGCUACACUGAUGCGUUCAACGAGUGUACCUUGGCCGAGAGGCCUGGGCAAUCUUUUGAACGUGCAUCGUGAUAGGGAUAGAUUAUUGCAAUUAUUAAUCUUGAACGAGGAAUUCCUAGUAAACGCAGAUCAUCAAUCUGCAUUGAUUACGUCCCUGCCCUUUGUACACACCGCCCGUCGCACCUACCGAUUGGAUGGUCCGGUGAAGCCUCGGGAUUGUGGCGGUUGCCUUUAUUGGUGGCCGCCGCGAGAACUUGUCUAAACCUUAUCAUCUAGAGGAAGGUGAAGUCGUAACA